GACGUAGGUCGGCGAACGUUUAUCCGGAAUUUAUUGGGCGGUAAAGGGUAGGCGUAGAUGGCCUGAUAAGUUAGCAGUGGGAAAUCGGAGCUCAACCUCGAUGGAGCUGGUAAUACUGUCAGGCUCGGAGUGACAGGAGGAGGUUAACGGAACUCCAAUGUGGAGCGGUAAAAUGUGUGAGAUAUAUGGAAGGAACGACCAAUAACGGCGGAAGGCAGUUAACUAUUCUGUUACUGAACAUUGAGGCACGGGAAAGCGAUGGGGAAGCCAAAACGGGG
rnacentral:rRNA from 1 species